rnacentral:rRNA from 1 species
GCAUAUCAAUAAGCGGAGGAAAAGAAACCAACAGGGAUUUGCCCUAGUAACGGCGAGUGAAGCGGCAACAGCUCAAAUUUGAAAUCUGGCUUCGGCCCGAGUUGUAAUUUGCAGAGGAAGCUUUAGGCGCGGCACCUUCUGAGUCCCCUGGAACGGGGCGCCACAGAGGGUGAGAGCCCCGUAUAGUUGGAUGCCUAGCCUGUGUAAAGCUCCUUCGACGAGUCGAGUAGUUUGGGAAUGCUGCUCAAAAUGGGAGGUAAAUUUCUUCUAAAGCUAAAUACCGGCCAGAGACCGAUAGCGCACAAGUAGAGUGAUCGAAAGAUGAAAAGCACUUUGAAAAGAGGGUUAAAUAGCACGUGAAAUUGUUGAAAGGGAAGCGCUUGUGACCAGACUUGCGCCGGGCGGAUCAUCCGGUGUUCUCACCGGUGCACUCCGCCCGGCUCAGGCCAGCAUCGGUUCUCGCGGGGGGAUAAAGGCCCAGGGAACGUAGCUCCUCCGGGAGUGUUAUAGCCCGGGGCGUAAUGCCCUCGCGGGGACCGAGGACCGCGCUCUGCAAGGAUGCUGGCGUAAUGGUCACCAGCGACCCGUCUUGAAACACGGACCAAGGAGUCAAGGUUUUGCGCGAGUGUUUGGGUGUAAAACCCGCACGCGUAAUGAAAGUGAACGUAGGUGAGAGCUUCGGCGCAUCAUCGACCGAUCCUGAUGUAUUCGGAUGGAUUUGAGUAGGAGCGUUAAGCCUUGGACCCGAAAGAUGGUGAACUAUGCUUGGAUAGGGUGAAGCCAGAGGAAACUCUGGUGGAGGCUCGCAGCGGUUCUGACGUGCAAUCGAUCGUCAAUUUGAGCAUGGGGGGCGAAAGACUAAUCGAACCAUCUAGUAGC